rnacentral:rRNA from 1 species
AAGUCGAACGAAGUAGCAAUACUUAGUGGCAGACGGGUGAGUAACAUGUGGGUAUCUUCCCUAUGGUGAGGAAUAACACGAGGAAACUUGUGCUAAUACCUCAUAAGUCUUUACGGAGAAAGCUUUAUGCGCCAUUGGAUGAGCCCGCACUUGAUUAGUUUGUUGGUAGGGUAACGGCCUACCAAGACUGUGAUCAAUAGCUGAUUUGAGAGGAUGAUCAGCCACAUUGGGACUGAGACACGGCCCAAACUCCUACGGGAGGCAGCAGUAAGGAACCUUGCACAAUGGAGGAAACUCUGAUGCAGCGAUGCCGCGUGAGUGAAGAAGGCCCUUGGGUUGUAAAGCUCUUUCGUCGGGGAAGAAAAUGACUGUACCCGAAUAAGAAGGUCCGGCUAACUUCGUGCCAGCAGCCGCGGUAAUACGAAGGGACCUAGCGUAGUUCGGAAUUACUGGGCUUAAAGAGUUCGUAGGUGGUUAAAAAAGUUGGUGGUGAAAUCCCAGAGCUUAACUCUGGAACUGCCAUCAAAACUUUUUAGCUAGAGUAUGAUAGAGGAAAGCAGAAUUUCUAGUGUAGAGGUGAAAUUCGUAGAUAUUAGAAAGAAUACCAAUUGCGAAGGCAGCUUUCUGGAUCAUUACUGACACUGAGGAACGAAAGCAUGGGUAGCGAAGAGGAUUAGAUACCCUCGUAGUCCAUGCCGUAAACGAUGUGUGUUAGACGUUGGAAAUUUAUUUUCAGUGUC